AGAUUGAACGCUAGCGGGAUGCUUUACACAUGCAAGUCGAACGGCAGCGCGGACUUCGGUCUGGCGGCGAGUGGCGAACGGGUGAGUAAUAUAUCGGAACGUGCCCAGUAGCGGGGGAUAACUACGCGAAAGCGUGGCUAAUACCGCAUACGCCCUACGGGGGAAAGGGGGGAUCGCAAGACCUCUCACUAUUGGAGCGGCCGAUAUCAGAUUAGCUAGUUGGUGAGGUAAAGGCUCACCAAGGCGACGAUCUGUAGCUGGUUUGAGAGGACGACCAGCCACACUGGGACUGAGACACGGCCCAGACUCCUACGGGAGCAGCAGGUGGGAAUUUGGACAAGUGGGGGAAACCCUGAUCCAGCCAUCCCGCGUGUGCGAUGAAGGCCUUCGGGUUAGUAAAGGACUACGUUUUGGUACGAGGGAAGAAACGGUACGUUGAACUAA
rnacentral:rRNA from 1 species